rnacentral:rRNA from 1 species
AACGAACGCUGGCGGCAUGCCUAACACAUGCAAGUCGAACGAGACCUUCGGGUCUAGUGGCGCACGGGUGCGUAACGCGUGGGAACCUGCCCUUAGGUUCGGAAUAACUCCCCGAAAGGGGUGCUAAUACCGGAUAAUGUCUUCGGACCAAAGAUUUAUCGCCUUUGGAUGGGCCCGCGUUGGAUUAGCUAGUUGGUAGGGUAAAAGCCUACCAAGGCGACGCUCCAUAGCUGGUCGGAGAGGAUGAUCAGCCGCACUGGGACGGAGAAACGGCCCAGACGAGAGGGGGGUGCACAGGGGUGGACUAUGGACAAGGGGGGAAAGGGCUGACAAAGAGGGGAGGGGUGGGUGGGGAAGGCUUGUGGGUUGAAAACGUCUUGGACCAGGGAUGAAGAUGACGGUGGGGGGAGAAUAAGCUCCGGCUAACCCCGUGACAGCAGCGUAGGUAAGAGAACGGAAAAGCACUCGCUAAAAC